UCGCGCACUCUCCCUUUCGCACCACAUAUCUGUGUGACAAAUGGUGCAAAAGUGAUUUGUGCAUCUGUAGAGGCAGCGAUCAGAGAGGUUCGGCCAAUCAGAAGAGCUACGCUGUAUCCGGUUUUUGUUAUUCUUUAUAGUUCUUCGGUUUUUUAUGAUCAAGUUUGUGGAUCUUAUCGUCUGCAACGUCGAGGGUGUAUUUUGGAGCCAUCGCGACAGUGAUUACAUCAGCUGGUUUUAAUCUAUUGGUAUGUCACUUGCAACGGAGGUGUAUUGGAGUCUUGUCCUGUGAUUGAAUCAUAGAGGUGGUAACGACAGGAGGUUGCUCCAAGCAAAAACAGGGAAGCUGACUAUGAAGGGCAGAAUCACAAUAUGGCCAGCUGUCAAUUUGAUUGAAAUUAGUUUGUGGUCUGGAUCAUGUCAUCUGCAAUACAUUCCAUUUGGAGGCUUUUUUGGUGAUUGCUAUUGUGACAGGAAUAACAUCAACUGGUCACCGUAACCACCCGAUCCAGUCCGUAUCCAGAUCAGAUGGUGGAUCAGCACCUAGAGAUGACCUCUACAGCCCUGAACUUCAGCGGAGACCAGGACAUCUAGAUGAGCCCCAGAGACUGAUUCCCAGUGAAGACCCUGUCUCCUAGACAGCCAUCGAGACAAGACCACAGGAACCAGAUGAGUCCUCUACACAAUCUGACUCUGCUGCAGCAUGGAACAACCUGCUGCUUCGUCUGGCCAGAGGAGAAUGACACACUAUCUCGACACACUAUUUCCCUGUUUAAUACUGUAAAGCUGCUUUGACACAAUCUGCAUUGUAAAAAGCACUAUAUAAAGUAAUGGUCACUUGACUUGACUUUGAUCUACUGUUUGAUCUACAGGAAUGCAUUAUAAGGAAUGGAUUAUAAAUGUAAUGAUUUGUGAUGGAUUAUCAACUAAUUAUGCACCUUCCCUGUAGGUUCAUUCCGAGUAUCAACCCUGGUGGCAUACCAUUCAGAGUCACAGAUCAGAUGGAGUUCUGGGAAGAGGGUGCAAAGACAAAGCAUCAGCCUGAAUCCCCUCAUGGUGUUUCUCAUCAGAGAGCUUGUCAACUUUGCCAAAAUUACUGAAAUUUAACACAAUACAAACUAAUUUUUUACUGUAUUUUUAUUUCUGUGAAGUCUGUUUUGCCAUGCUGCAGACACAAAGUCCCCAGGGGACUGUGGUGAUGCCCUUUUUCAGCUAGCACAUGCUGGAGAUGAAGAUUUGUAAUUUGUAUUUUUAAAAAGAACAUGUUCAACAAUUAAAAAGAAUAUUAUAAUGACACAUGCUAAUGAGUUA